UUUAUUUUAUAGAUACUUAAAUUUUGACAAAGCAAGAGACCAACAAGACAAUAUUAGAAUAAAAAUCCAACAGCACUUCCCACUUUGAAGUAGGUACAAGGUCAGUUACCCAGGCUGUGCAAAACUGAGAUCCAAUGUCCUUUUCUACCUGAGGGAAUGUGAGGCUGAAUUUAGUGCAAAGAUUCUCUCUCUGCAGCACUGCUCAGAUUCCCCCUUCUUCUACAGAGGGAGCAGCCUCCUGCAGUGAUUUUUCUGUCUGUGAUAGUGACCCCAAAUAUGAUGACUUCCCCCUGUCCUGAAUCUGCUUGAAGCAUAACGGGAGCUCCUGG
ensembl:lncRNA